GUGCUCGCUCCCACAGCACUAUAACUAAAAUCAACGAUACAGAGAAGAUUAGCAUGGUCUAUGCAAAGAUGACAUGCAAAUUCGUGAAUCAUUCCCCUGAGGG